GCUACUUGCCUUGCCUCAAAGGUAUAGUUUCUUCCACCAAAUGUCCAAAAGGGCUUUUCUUCAUGUUUUUGUCUCUAUUUUGUUUUUCUCACUUUUCUCUAAUUCUCUGAAAUUCUUUUUUUUUUUUCAUCAUCUUCUCAUUUGCUUUCUAUAUAACCCAUGUAACGAGCUUUAGGCCGGUGACUCCCAAACCAGUUGGCUUUAGGGCACCAGGUUUUUAAACCCUUACAGGCUUAUUCACUCGAGUUAUAAAGGCUCGAUCAGAUGACUUUUUAUUAACCUCUUUCCCUCUUGCUUUCUUU
rnacentral:lncRNA from 1 species